rnacentral:rRNA from 1 species
AGUGAACGCUGGCGGUAGGCCUAACACAUGCGAGUCGAACGGCAGCACAGUAAGAGCUUGCUCUUACGGGUGGCGAGUGGCGGACGGGUGAGCAAUACAUCGGAAUCUACUUUUUCGUGGGGGAUAACGUAGGGUAACUUACGCUAAUACCGCAUACGACCUACGGGUGAAAGCAGGGGAUCUUCGGACCUUGCGCGAUUGAAUGAGCCGAUGUCGGAUUAGCUAGUUGGCGGGGUAAAGGCCCACCAAGGCGACGAUCCGUAGCUGGUCUGAGAGGAUGAUCAGCCACACUGGAACUGAGACACGGUCCAGACUCCUACGGGAGGCAGCAGUGGGGAAUAUUGGACAAUGGGCGCAAGCCUGAUCCAGCCAUACCGCGUGGGUGAAGAAGGCCUUCGGGUUGUAAAGCCCUUUUGUUGGGAAAGAAAAGCAGCAGGUUAAUACCCCGCUGUUCUGACGGUACCCAAAGAAUAAGCACCGGCUAACUUCGUG